rnacentral:rRNA from 1 species
AACGUAGGAGACAAACGUUAUCCGGAGUUACUGGGCGUAAAGGGCGUGUAGGCGGUUGGUUAAGUCUGGCGUGAAAGCUCUCGGCUAAACCGGGAGAGGUCGUUGGAUACUGGCCGACUAGAGGACGGUAGAGGCGUGUGGAAUUCCGGGUGUAGUGGUGAAAUGCGUAGAUAUCAGGAGGAAUACCGGUGGUGCAGACGGCUCUCUGGACCGCGACUGACGCUGAGACACGAAAGCGUGGGUAGCAAACAGG